UGUCAUUUUAUAUCGACAAAUAUUAAAUUACACAAAAAGUAAUCUUGUGUAAAUUUAGCACAAAUAAAUUUUCUUAUUUAAUUUGUUUAAAUCCGUUGCGUCGAUUUAUUUUAUUGACUUCACGUUUCGACCUCAUGUUUUUUCAAACAGUCAAUGAACUUCGACUUAAUACUUUAAACUUUUAUGAUAAGAGGUACACGUUUACGUAGAAUAAUUGUUGUCGACGGCAUCACAACCAUAAAGUUCAUAUAAAUAUAAUUUUAAAAUUUUUAUGACACCGGUUAAAUGCCCGGUGUAGGUGGGGGGACAAUAGAUUCCGUAUAAAUAUCGAUACUAGUUUCAAAUUCAAUCAGUAACCGAAUUCGAUUUAACUGGUUCUAAUAUUCUGUCUAAAAGUGUAAUCAAAAUGAAAACUAUCGCUAUUAUUUUAGUGAGCGCAUUCGUGGCAUGUUUAUGCCCGGGUAACAGAGCUGACUGUGACGCGCUAUGGGGUGCUCCAACUAACGCAACAGUUCCAAAAAAUGCCAAAGUAUAUCUCGGUUGCGUCGCAUAUGAAUGUAUAGGAAAUAACACCUAUAAUGCUCUUGGAUGCCCUACAAUUCGUUGUCCCGAUGGAUUUGAACCACAGACAGUCCAUUCCUCAUUACCUUGGCCACACUGUUGCCCUUCAUCAGCAGAUUGCAACAACAUUAUAAAUACUACCGAAAAAAAUUAAUAUUUUCAUUUAAUUGAUCUAUUUCUGUCUCAAAUAAUUCAAAAGAAUUAUAAUAAAUUAUUUAUUUGUUUUUACUCAAUUGUAAUACUGUCUCAGGUCUCAAUAAUGUUGCAAUUUCAACAACAAUCAGACGUCAAAAUUCGUAAUUAAAUUUAAAAAUGCCAGUAUUGUAAAAACGACUUUCGAUUAUUUGAAUAAAUAUAAUUAUUAUUCAUUUUUCGUGUAUAUUUUUUUUAUCUUCAUAUAUUUAAAUGCCUGGAGCUUUAAAACUUAUCAUCCAUUAUGAUGAGAGAUAACAAAAAAAGUCUGGUAUCAGUAAAUCAAUAUGUUCACUUUACAAAUAAACAAUAAUAACUUUUUUUUCUUUACUGAUAUUACAACAGACUUCUGUAUUAACAAAAUGUAUAUAAAUAUCCAGGUGCAGAAAAUAAUUUCGUCACUUAAUUUUUAAUAGCGAUAAAUUUUUAAUGAUGUCUUUUUAUAUGUUUUGUGUCUGUGUAAUAGUAGGCGGUUUAUAUCAAGAAACUAAUGGUGAGUAAAGGUUGCUUGCGGCACAAAAUGAGAUAGAUGUGGUUAUAAUGCAAGCUGCCGAUCAUUAUCUGGAAAAGAAAAAAAUGUAGCAACUGGUACUGUACUUGAGUACAGAUGUGCUCAAUAUACUUGUCAACCUGACGGUUCAUAUACUUCUACUGGGUGCGCAGUGUAUACUUGUAAAAAUCAA